UACGUAGGGGGCAAGCGUUGUCCGGAAUUAUUGGGCGUAAAGAGCGCGUAGGCGGUCCGGUAAGUCGGUUGUGAAAGUCGGGGGCUCAACCCUCGGAUGCCGAUCGAUACUGUCGGCUAGAGUCCGGAAGAGGCGAGUGGAAUUCCGUGGUGUAGCGGUGAAAUGCGCAGAUAUCAGGAGGAACACCGGUGGCGAAGGCGGCUUUCUGGGCCUUACCUGACGCUGAGGAGCGAAAGCUAGGGAGCAAACAGG
rnacentral:rRNA from 1 species